rnacentral:lncRNA from 1 species
GCCUGAGGGGCAGAGGAAGAGGAGGGGUUGGUCUUGCUGUCUCAGGGGUAGCAGAGACAGAAGGAAAUCUGCUUAUACGUGGACUCAUGAAGUUCAAACCCAUGUUGAAGAGUCACCUGUAAAUGCUAAAAGCCCCAGUGGACUGGAGAAGAAAGUAACCAGAGAUGGGGAAGCUAGUCAGGAAGCUGCUGAAGUUAUCUGAGAGAUGAAAAAAUGCUAGGCACACAGUGCUGCUGUCUGGUUGCCAUGGAGACCACAGCCUAUUAUCCUGCCUUGUCAUUCAUCAAGAAAGAAUUACACUUGACAGAGGCAGAGGAAAAUGCCUGCAGUCUGCAGCAUAGGAGGAAAAAAAGCUUUUCUUGUCUUCUAUAUGUCCCUUAGGCUAAUGUUUGCACUGAAGAAUGAAAUGAACAGGCAGAAACAAUUAAGCGAGCAGAUACAGUGAAAACGAGCACCACACCGCACUUUCACAGAAAUGGAAGUGUAUGAAGGAAUUCUGCUUGGAAUUUGAUCCCACAGCAGCAAAGCUUUUGCUCCUUGUCAUUUUCUUCUGCCUACCCCCAGUGCACACCACUUCCCCUGUAUGGGGGAAAAAGAUCUAGGCAUACAAAGGAACUCCUAAAUACUCACAGGCGUGGGAAAUAUUUUCUCUGCUUGUUACUAGUACAAGAUAAUCUCCAAGGAAGAAAAUCCAACUAGAUAUUCUACACUGCAAAUGUCUCCCAAAGCCUGUUAAAUGUUCACAUAUGUCUUUAUGAAAUUUGUAAUAUGGAUUGUUUAUAUAGUCCUGAUUAAGAGCAUGAACAUCAUUAAAAAGGAUAAAGUCAGUUUGAGGAUGGAAAAUUAUAAAGUCAGCUAAAACUGUUACCUACGAAAAAAGUGUGGACUUUUUUUUUAACUUAAUAAUCUGCGUCUCUUUAAAGAAAAAGAUCCAUAAACAGUCAAAAGUGAGUUGUUAAAGGGCCUUCUAAAGUGUAUCAGGAAUUAACAAAGAAGUAAUUAACUCUACCCCAAACAAAUCAGCCAUCACGUGUUUAUAGCAUUUUUGUCCCUCUGUGAAAGCUAUAUCUUCUUUUUUAGUCCCACACUAAGAGAUUUUACGUUGCAAGAGCUUGGCAUUCCUAUUUUUGGAUUGACUGUGUUAAAACAGGGUGCUAUAAUACACAAAGGAGACCUGUUACAACAUAGCAAAGUAAAGGGUCUUAAGGAAGUGGCAUCAUAGGAUCCAUUCUGGGAGAAUCUAUAUUAUUAACAGAUACAAUGCUUGUAUGAUUGAUUCAAGAUGAGCUCUGUCUGAAUUCAAACUUUAUUUCUAAAGACAGUAUGCAUUUGGAAAUUGCCUUGUGAAACCGUCAGAAUACAGAAAACACAAAGUUUAAACCUUUUGGAUGCCUUCUAGUACCUCAGCAGUGAAUCAGGAAGAUGGACGGCAUCCGUAAGAUUAUACUGAGCGGAAGG